AUACGGAGGAUGCGAGCGUUAUCCGGAUUUAUUGGGUUUAAAGGGAGCGUAGGCGGGAGCUUAAGUCAGCGGUUAAAUGGUGCGGCUCAACCGUGCCCUGCCGUUGAAACUGGGUUUCUUGAGAGUGCAAGAGGCGGAUGGAAUUCAUGGGGGUGCGGGGAAAUGCUUAGAUAUCAUGAAGAACUCCGAUUGCGAAGGCAGUCCGCUGGGGCACGUUUGACGCUGAUGCUCGAAGGUGCGGGAAUCAAACAGGAUUAGAUACCCUGGUGGUCCGCACGGUAAACGAUGAUUACCCGCUGUCGGCGGUAGACAGUCGGCGGCCAAGCGAAAGCGAUAAGUAAUCCACCUGGGGAGUACGCCGGCAACGGUGAAACUCAAAGGAAUUGACGGGG
rnacentral:rRNA from 1 species